rnacentral:antisense_RNA from 1 species
CUUCACCGACCCCAGCCACAGCGGCCGCUCUUCCGCACGGUCCCGGCCGUAGGUCGCCAGUACCGCCUGGGCCUC